ensembl:lncRNA LOC102555037 uncharacterized LOC102555037
AACACACACACGCUACCCACAGGGAUCUACCCUGGCAUCUAAGAAAGCCAGCUUUUUCUAGGGCAAGGAGAGGCUUAAAGAAGAAGAACCUGGCUUUUCUCAGGGUUUCAGCUCCUGCUGAGGAUGGAAUAAUACGUUUGAAAAACUCACAGGAGCCCUUUCGUUAGGGAGUGAUGCUAAAAUUGGCUCUUCCAGCUUGUAAUAAAAGAAAACAGACCUUAGGAUUCCAUCCUGUCUAGCUUUCUUACAGAGUCUUCUAAAAUUUACCCCCAUUCAAGAUCACCUCAUGCGAGACAAGAAUAGUCCAUGUCUAUGUUAUAUAUUAAGGGUACAAUGAUUCUAUGCAGUUGAGGCUGUGCUGGGGAUAUUGGUGCAUUGCUAUUUUUAGUUUUAUAUUAUUAUAUUAUUGUGCGUGCAUACUUGGGGGGGUGCGUGUCAUGGUGUAUGUAUGGAGGUCUGAGGAUAGUGUUGUGGAUGGCUCCCUCUUUCCACUGUUACAUGGGUCCUGGAGAAGGCGCAGAAGAAUCAGUAGAUUCUUUCCCUGUUGAGACAUCUUGCUGGCCGCACUACCCGACUUCAUCUUCUCUAAUUUUGGCACAAGUGAUCCUUGCUAUCUCUUCUGGUCUCAGCUGGAAUGCCCCAUCCUUGGAGACCUUUCCUGACUUGGCUUCCCCCUCCUGAUUUAAUAUCAAAAUUCCUCACUUGUUUCCUGUUUUAUAUACUCAUGCAUGGCCUGUCUCCCUCCAGAGAAAUCAGCCCCAUGUAGCCAGAGACUGAAUUACUGUGCUCAACUAGAACUCCUCAGUGGCAGAUGAUAGCUAAGGCAGAAAGACUGAUGAAUGAACUGCCAAGCGACAGGGCCACUCUGCCAUCAGGAGCCCCAUCUCUUCUGGUCUGUUCUCCAUCCACAUGAGGACAGCCAGCUAUAGGAGAAAACCAAGGACAUAUACCUCUAUCAUUUGCCUGAAGAAGAACAGGAAUGCACACCUUGGCUGGAAAUCAGUGAUCAGGUACUGUCCUGCUGCCCACUGUGGUCCAUCAUCAAAGAAAAGAGUUCUUGAGCCAAAGAUGCUGAUUUGAUGGUGGAAGUGAUGGAGAAUAAGUAAGCUGCUUCGAUGAAGUCUGGAUUAUAUCACAAGAAAAACUACAGGCACGGGGAACAAUAGAAAUAAUUUGGGAUGUCCUAGAAAGGACUAGAGACUAGAACAUGAAAACCCGCUGUGUAAGACCAUUCCAGGCAGAGACAACAGCAAUUACUUUUCUCAUUGGUGUGGCAAAAAUACUGGAGAAAAGCAACUCAGGAGGUCACGUUGAUUUUGGCUGAGUGUUUAUACAAGGAUACAGACCAUCCCAGGUGAUGGCAUCAUCCUGGCAGCAGGAGGCUGAGGCAGCUGGUCAGACUUCAUCUGCAAUCAGGACGCAGAGGAAGAUGAACGCUUGGUGUUCAGCUUGCCUAGAAUGGGAUGGUGCCUUCUACAUUUAGGGUAGGUUUUCCCACUGCAACGAACCCAAUCAAAAUACUGCAAACUCCUUCACAAACAUGCUCAGAAGUUUGUCUCCUGGGUGAUUCAAGACCCUCUCAAGUUGGCAAUGCCAACCACCACCAAGUUCAAAGGCUCCAAGGUAGGCCUGCUGUGCUAGAGGGAGGGGAGAGGCACUGUGUGACCACAGCAGAGGGAAAAGGCAGAAAGAGGUGAGGGAAAGCCAACAUGGCCAUGUGAAGUACGUCUUAGGGUGCAUGGCGGUGGGUGGGCCAUGGCGCUUUUCUCUCAACGUCAGGGGACAUCUGCAGUGUUCUGAGCAGCACAGGCCAUCAAUUUUUGCGAUUAUCAUAAGUAUAGGAAGUACACACAGAGAGGAUAUACUUAUCCAGAUGUUUCUAGUCAUGCUCCAGGUAUAUCAAGGAGCCAGCCACAUCAUGACUGGAGGGAGGUAUGGCCCAGUGCCAGAAAUCAGGCUCAGGUGACAGGCUCAGCUGGAAAGGGGUACCCAUCUGUCACAAACAACCCUUGCUCUCUACUACUUGUCCAAUGUCUAUAGGUGGCAGAGAUAUUAAUACUGGAGCAUUAAGCAUCCACCAAGCAUGUGCUGCACCGGAGGACUCUCGCUUUGUGUGCUUUUUGAGCCAGUAACUAUCAGAAACAACUCCCACCAGCUCAUAAGGAACCCUACUGAGGUUUGGAUGUGAUCUGGCCUUCAAGAGCAGUGUGUUGGAAGCUUGGUGGGAAUGUGAGAGAUGGUGGUGAUACCCUUGAGAAGUGUCACCUGUUGGUACUAAAUGAUGUCACUUGAUUAUGACCCUUGGAAGAGGUUAAGGUAGUUUUCAUGGGAUCCUUCCAUUGAAAGGCAAUGUUAUAAAACAGCACACCUACCCCUCCCCAAUUUCACCAUGUGAGUUCUCUCCUGUUCCAUGCCUUUCUAUUUUUUGUGCCACCCAUCAAAACCAAGGCAGUGCUAGCACCAAGUCCUUGAAUCUCUAGAACUUUGACCUAAAUAAACCUCAUGUCUUCG